UGGUAUGCCACAGGUGGCUUUAUGAUGGUGCCACAUGUUAAAGUGUUUUCAUUAACACAGUACACCUGUAAGUCUGUAACUGUAAGUUCUAAGCUUAUAACUAAAGAAUUUAUCUUUGGACGAAUCUGUACUGCAUCUGUGUCCAUAUCUGUGUCUACACGUAUCGACACGGGACUCGGCACAAAAACUGCCGUACCCAUGCAACACAGG
rnacentral:lncRNA from 1 species